AUUGAACGCUGGCGGCAGGCCUAACACAUGCAAGUCGAACGAGUGGCGGACGGGUGAGUAAUGUCUGGGAAACUGCCCGAUGGAGGGGGAUAACUACUGGAAACGGUAGCUAAUACCGCAUACCAUCGGAUGUGCCCAGAUGGGAUUAGCUAGUAGGUGGGGUAAUGGCUCCCCUAGGCGACGAUCCCUAGCUGGUCUGAGAGGAGGACCGGCCAAACUGGAAUGUAGACACGGUCCAGACGCCUACGGGAGGCAGCAGUGGUGAAUAUUGCACAAUGGGCGCAAGCCUGAUGCAGCCAUGCCGCGUGUAUGAAGAAGGCCUUCGGGUUGUAAAGCACUGUCAGCGAGGAGGCGUUAAUCGCAGAAGAAGCACCGGCUAACGCCGUGCCAGCAGCCGCGGUAAUUC
rnacentral:rRNA from 1 species